UAAGACACUUUAAAGAACACUCUUAGA
rnacentral:piRNA from 1 species